GCUCCCCCUGCUGGACACAACGUAUGGUUCAGAAGAAGCCAAUAUUGACUCUUCCUGAUGGUCGCUAAUCUGUUGGGCCAGUAGCAGAGAAGCAACAUUACAGGGAAGGACCGUC
ensembl:snoRNA